rnacentral:rRNA from 1 species
CCUAAUACAUGCAAGUCGAGCGGACUUAAAAAGCUUGCUUUUUAAGUUAGCGGCGGACGGGUGAGUAACACGUGGGCAACCUGCCUGUAAGACUGGGAUAACUUCGGGAAACCGGAGCUAAUACUGGAUAAUCCUUUUCUACUCAUGUAGAGAAGCUGAAAGACGGUUUACGCUGUCACUUACAGAUGGGCCCGCGGCGCAUUAGCUAGUUGGUGAGGUAACGGCUCACCAAGGCGACGAUGCGUAGCCGACCUGAGAGGGUGAUCGGCCACACUGGGACUGAGACACGGCCCAGACUCCUACGGGAGGCAGCAGUAGGGAAUCUUCCGCAAUGGACGAAAGUCUGACGGAGCAACGCCGCGUGAGUGAUGAAGGUUUUCGGAUCGUAAAACUCUGUUGUUAGGGAAGAACAAGUACGAGAGUAACUGCUCGUACCUUGACGGUACCUAACCAGAAAGCCACGGCUAACUACGUGCCAGCAGCCGCGGUAAUACGUAGGUGGCAAGCGUUGUCCGGAAUUAUUGGGCGUAAAGCGCGCGCAGGCGGUCCUUUAAGUCUGAUGUGAAAGCCCACGGCUCAACCGUGGAGGGUCAUUGGAAACUGGGGGACUUGAGUGCAGAAGAGGAGAGUGGAAUUCCACGUGUAGCGGUGAAAUGCGUAGAGAUGUGGAGGAACACCAGUGGCGAAGGCGACUCUCUGGUCUGUAACUGACGCUGAGGCGCGAAAGCGUGGGGAGCGAACAGGAUUAGAUACCCUGGUAGUCCACGCCGUAAACGAUGA